rnacentral:rRNA from 1 species
AAUUUUGGACAAUGGGCGCAAGCCUGAUCCAGCAAUGCCGCGUGCAGGACGAAGGCCNNNGGGUUNUCAACUGCUUUUGUACGNAACNAAAAGCCUUCUUCUAAUACAGGAGGGUGAUGACGGUACCGUAAGAAUAAGCACCGGCUAACUACGUGCCAGCAGCCGCGGUAAUACGUAGGGUGCAAGCGUUAAUCGGAAUUACUGGGCGUAAAGCGUGCGCAGGCGGUUUUGUAAGACAGAGGUGAAAUCCCCGGGCUCAACCUGGGAACUGCCUUUGUGACUGCAAGGCUGGAGUGCGGCAGAGGGGGAUGGAAUUCCGCGUGUAGCAGUGAAAUGCGUAGAUAUGCGGAGGAACACCGAUGGCGAAGGCAAUCCCCUGGGCCUGCACUGACGCUCAUGCACGAAAGCGUGGGGAGCAAACAGG